rnacentral:lncRNA from 1 species
GAGUAUGAAGGUUCAUAUGUACCAGAGACAUUUUGCGGCAAGCGUCGAUGCUUCACUCAGUCUCAAUGGUUUUGGAACUAACAAUAGACGCUGUAUUCUCUUAUUUCCCCUACUUCCUGAGUCAUCCUGCAGUCUUGCGAAUCUGAUCUUGACUAGGAUUAAUGAUCCCAUGGUUGAAGAUGUUCAACAAGAUUUUAACUUGUUCUGGGGUGGACCGCCAUUGUUUGUAUCCCGU